rnacentral:rRNA from 1 species
UACGGAGGGGGCUAGUGUUGUUCGGAAUUACUGGGCGUAAAGAGCGCGUAGGCGGUUUGUAAAGUUGGAAGUGAAAGCCCAAGGCUUAACCUUGGAAUUGCUUUCAAAACUUAUAGCUAGAGAUCGGUAGAGGAUGGUGGAAUUCCUAGUGUAGAGGUGAAAUUCGUAGAUAUUAGGAGGAACACCGGUGGCGAAGGCGGCCAUCUGGGCCGAUUCUGACGCUGAGGCGCGAAAGCGUGGGGAGCCAAACAGGG